rnacentral:rRNA from 1 species
CUCCUACGGGAGGCAGCAGUGAGGAAUAUUGGUCAAUGGGCGAGAGCCUGAACCAGCCAAGUAGCGUGAAGGAUGACUGCCCUAUGGGUUGUAAACUUCUUUUAUAAAGGAAUAAAGUCGGGUAUGGAUACCCGUUUGCAUGUACUUUAUGAAUAAGGAUCGGCUAACUCCGUGCCAGCAGCCGCGGUAAUACGGAGGAUCCGAGCGUUAUCCGGAUUUAUUGGGUUUAAAGGGAGCGUAGAUGGAUGUUUAAGUCAGUUGUGAAAGUUUGCGGCUCAACCGUAAAAUUGCAGUUGAUACUGGAUAUCUUGAGUGCAGUUGAGGCAGGCGGAAUUCGUGGUGUAGCGGUGAAAUGCUUAGAUAUCACGAAGAACUCCGAUUGCGAAGGCAGCCUGCUAAGCUGCAACUGACAUUGAGGCUCGAAAGUGUGGGUAUCAAACAGGAUUAGAUACCCUGGUAGUCCACACGGUAAACGAUGAAUACUCGCUGUUUGCGAUAUACGGCAAGCGGCCAAGCGAAAGCGUUAAGUAUUCCACCUGGGGAGUACGCCGGCAAUGGUGAAACUCAAAGGAAUUGACGGGGGCCCGCACAAGCGGAGGAACAUGUGGUUUAAUUCGAUGAUACGCGAGGAACCUUACCCGGGCUUAAAUUGCAGAUGAAUUACGGUGAAAGCCGUAAGCCGCAAGGCAUCUGUGAAGGUGCUGCAUGGUUGUCGUCAGCUCGUGCCGUGAGGUGUCGGCUUAAGUGCCAUAACGAGCGCAACCCUUAUCUUUAGUUACUAACAGGUCAUGCUGAGGACUCUAGAGAGACUGCCGUCGUAAGAUGUGAGGAAGGUGGGGAUGACGUCAAAUCAGCACGGCCCUUACGUCCGGGGCUACACACGUGUUACAAUGGGGGGUACAGAAGGCAGCUACCUGGUGACAGGAUGCUAAUCCCAAAAGCCUCUCUCAGUUCGGAUCGAAGUCUGCAACCCGACUUCGUGAAGCUGGAUUCGCUAGUAAUCGCGCAUCAGCCAUGGCGCGGUGAAUACGUUCCCGGGCCUUGUACACACCGC